rnacentral:lncRNA from 1 species
GCUCUGAGAAAGGACUGAGAAAGAACUGCUUGGUGAAAGAGGUCAUGAGGAAUCAAGUUCUACCUCUGGUAAAAAGCCUCUUGCUCCCAGAAGAAAGUCAAGUAGGAACAUACACCUUUGAAUGACAUCUCGCCAUUUACUGAAGUUAUCAUCAUCAGAUCUGUGCUACCUACCCAUUAAAACUUGUCUGGACAUUUUUAAACCUCA